UUUCCGUAGGUGAACCUGCGGAAGGAUCAUUAUUGUAUAACCGAGGUGCGACGGCUGUCGCUGACCCGAAAGGUCGUGCACGCCCGAGUGCCCUCACACAUCCAUCUCACCCCUAUGUGCACCACCGCGUGGGUCCCCCUUUGGCUUGUUCGGAGGGGGGCUUACGUUUUCACACAAACUUUGUAUGCAGUGUAGAAUGUAUUUUUUGUUUUUGCGAUCACGCAAUCAAUACAACUUUCAACAACGGAUCUCUUGGCUCUC
rnacentral:misc_RNA from 1 species